UGAUUUCCUUUCUUCUAGUCUCGGGAGCCUCUGGCGCUGUGUGACCUGAAAGCAGAAGUCUCCCCCAGGAUCUCAGCCGAGGACUUAAUCGACCUCUGUGAUCUGUCUUUGUCCGGGCCCACGAAGAGGACCAAAAUCGGCAAGCCCAAAAUCAUAGCUGUGGACAUCCGCAGUCUAGAGGACUUCAGCAGAGGCCAUAUAUCCGGCAGCAUCAACAUCCCCUUCAGCUCAGCGUUCGGCGCUGACAGCGAGCUGCUGCAGUGUCCUGCGACAGGAACCCUCCAGAACUACAGAGGACGAGUCAUCGUGGUCAUUAGUCACGUCAUGAAGAGUGCUGCUGUGUUUGCAUCCCACCUGGUGAAGGUCAAUUUCCCACGGGUUUGUAUCCUGGAUGGAGGGAUCAACAAGCUGAAGCCCACUGGACUCUUGACCGUCCCCUCCCCUCAGAUCUGAGCCCAUACGUCAGCUCCACAUAAACAAAAGGGAUGAGCGGAAAGACUGGAAAUUGUCAUUAGCUGAAUUUGAAAAGGGGAACAAAAACAGUCUUGUCACUUUACUGAUACAUUUAACGCAAUGUUUAAAGAACUAUUGUGCAAAUUAAAUCCAAUUUGAUUUGUUAAACUAACAUGCCUAACAGAGCAUUUGUUGUUGUUUUUCUGUCUUAAAACAAGAAUGAAUUUUUUUUUUUCCUGGAUUAAUUGCCAUGUGUUGUUGUAGCCUCAUACUGAAACUGAUCUGUCUGUGACCAAUAAUGCACUGUCUGUUAUAAUGUCUGUUCUGAGCCAGUUGAUCAUUAGAAAUGUGUUAAAUACUCAGCAGCUACACAAGUACAAAUCAAACUGUACUGCCUUUAAGUCUAUGUCAUGAUGUCUGUUAUGUGCAUUUUUUUUUUAACACUGUCAGAGAGGUGUUCAUUUAAAACCAUGUCUUUGCAUAAUUAAUGCUAUAGUUAAAUGAACUGACUGCAUUGCAUUAAAGGUAUUGCUGAUACCAAGCUCCCCUCGUGUGUAAACAGAGAAUAAGAACUAACAAAGAAGCAAUGCAGAAACAUUAUAUCAUGCAUUUUCUAUUCUAUCAUUCAUUUAUGAUACGAUAUGAUUUUACCAUUUUUGACAAUUGAGACAAAUACUGAACAUUAAAGACUUUGUGCAGUAAUAA